rnacentral:rRNA from 1 species
UACGUAGUGUGCGAUCGUUAAUCGGAAUUACUGGGCGUAAAGCGUGCGCAGGCGGUGAUGUACGACAGUUGUGAAAUCCCCGGGCUCAACCUGGGAACUGCAUCUGUGACUGCAUCGCUGGAGUGCGGCAGAGGGGGAUGGAAUUCCGCGUGUAGCAGUGAAAUGCGUAGAUAUGCGGAGGAACACCGAUGGCGAAGGCAAUCCCCUGGGCCUGCACUGACGCUCAUGCACGAAAGCGUGGGGAGCAAACAGG